CUCGACCCCAUGAAGUCGGAAUCGCUAGUAAUCGCGUAACAGCAUGACGCGGUGAAUACGUUCCCGGGCCUUGUACACACCGCCCGUCACACCAUGGGAGUUGGUUCUACCCGAAGCUGGUGCGCUAACCUUUUAGGAGGCAGCCAACCACGGUAGGAUUAGCGACUGGGGUGAAGUCGAAACAAGGUAGCCGUAGGGGAACCUGCGGCUGGAUCACCUCCUU
rnacentral:rRNA from 1 species